CUCAGCCGUUAAAGGCUAGGCUCACAACCAAAUAUAUAAGAGUUCGGUUCCCAGCACCCACGGCUGUCUCUCCAGCCACCUUUUUUGUCUUAUACUACAGUACACACGGAGCACGCAAAAUUAUAAAUUGAUAGUUAAAAAAGAAAGAAAAGGAAAGGAAAACUAAAUAAAAGGAAUAAAUCCCAUCUCUCUUAACUUAACUAAGUUGCAAUUAAGCAACGUAUAAUCAGUUUCAAUUGACUUAAUCAAAUAUUUCAGUUGGUUUUAUCAAAGCCAGCUUCAAAUCUACACGCACUGCAAAUGCUCGCAGACACUCAAAGACACAGCUUGCUCUGCCCCAUCUCUCGUCUGCCUGGUGUUUUUAACAUCAACUUCAGAGCUCACAGUGUGGGAUCACCGCAAACACCCAGUCAAAGAGAUCUGCACUCCGACAUCUCUGCUGCUCCACACCCUGCACUAGGCUCCUGUGCUGAUCUGCCUCUCGCCGCUAUUCAAUAAGGACCCCAAGGAUCGCUCCCCAGACACUUGCAGCAGACCCAGGGACACAUUCAGGAUGAGAUCAUAAUCCUCUUUGUUGAUGACAGUCAAAGUGCUUGUCUGCUCACCGACAGGGGUCCUCCUAAGUGUCAAGGCUGGCCCUUGGCUCUGGCUGUUUCCCUAAGGUCUGUCAAAGGUGAUGCUGUAGUGCUGCCUGCUACCAGCAGGACCUCAGCACCCUUGGUGCUUCAGUGGUUCAGGUCUAUGGUGGUUUCUACUGUUGUGAUAAAACACCAUGGCCCAAACCAAUCUGGGGUAGACCUGUCAACUCACAGUCAACAGCUCACCAGGAGAGGAAGCUGAGACAAGAGCUGAAGAAGACCCCGAAAAACACUGCUUACGGGCUUGUUCCUCUUGUCCUGCUCAGUUUGCCUUUGUCUACACCCCAGGACCACCACCGAGGGGUGGCACAGCCCAGAAAAGGAUGGGCUUUUCACAUCUAUCACCAGUUUGAGAUGCGUACUGUGCAACCCCAGCUUGCACCUCACAUCUCUCCUCUGGAAUCUUCUUCUGUAUCCAACUGUGUUGGCAUUUGACACACAGCUGUUGAGUGCACGCCCCCAUAGAGUUGCCAAUCAGAUGGAUGCAAAGUCUUAGCUGAGGUUCUCUCUUCCCAGCUUGGUUCAAACUGGGCAAACAUAACCAGCACGCCAGUGGUUUUUCUGGGAAGAGCAGCAAUUCCCACCAACUCCAAUGACCACCUCUUCUUCUGCGACCUGCUAUUUCUUGUCAGGGCCUGUUGGACACGCCUUUAAUCAUGUUUCUACCUGAGAACUGUCGACCUUGGUCAGUCUACAGUGCACAUCGUACUCACGCAUACCACGUAAAAUGCACACAUAAAAACACCGAUCUUUAAAAGUCAAAGUGAGCCAAUAUAUGGGAUAAAAUAACACAUACACAGCAAAUACAUAUGUUGAAUAUUCUGAAUACCACUGGAAUUUGGGGGAAAACAGUUGAGCAUUUUUUUAAAAUGAUACAAUUACCUCAUGUCCUGGGUUUCCCUCCCCCAAGAGAAAUGCCCAUGUUUACAUAAAAAGGCUGCCUGUGUUUACAAGGUUUUAUGAAUUGACCCUUAUAUUUUGCAAAAACUCAAACAAAAACCUAAGCUUGUAACAAAGUGAACAUGGCAUUGAAGAAAAUGAUCAAAAAGGGAAAACAGGAACUCGUGCUUGCACCUGCCCAUCUCUUCUGCUGGCUAAAUGUCCCUCAACUUUCUGUCCAAGGUCGCUAAACAACUUGCUGGACAUCUUAAGUUACACUAAAAGCACUUUUCUGCCAAAACUCUUUCCCUUGGGCUAGCAAAAUGGCUCUGUGAGUAAAGGUGCUUAUGGUUCAAGCCUGGUGACCUGACUUCCCUCCCCGGAACCUACAUAAAAGUGGAAGGAGAGAACCAACUACAUAUAGUUGUCCUCUGACCUCUAAAUGUGGGACACGCCUGUGUGUGACCUAUCCCCUCCCCUUACACACACACACCCACACACACAUAGACCACCACCACCACCACCACCACCACCACCACCCCCCAAAUCAAAACAACACCAAAAUUCCACCCCCUUGCAGUAGAGAAUCUGACUGUAGAGCCGGGGUUUUCUGCUGGGAAAUUCUACCUGCCACCAUCCUGCUCUCUCUCUGCUCACACUUUACCCACCAGUUUCCUAUUUGUUUGCUCUGACCUGUUCCUAACGCUGCCUUUUAGAGUUUGAGAUGCGUACUGUGCAACCCCAGCUUGCACCUCACAUCUCUCCUCUGGAAUCUUCUUCUGUAUCCAACUGUGUUGGUAUUUGACACACAGCUGUUGAGUGCACCGUGGAUGACUCUCAGAUGCAUUACUACUGCAGGGACCCAGCUCCCUGGUGUUCUUGAAAAGCCAGUGUGUAAAAGCAGAAAGAGAAGAGUGCCAUGGGCUGGGUACAGAGGAAAGGAGUGUCUACAAGGACAUGGGGUACUGGGGUGGGGUCUGGGUCUAUACCUUGAUUAUGAUGGAGACUCUAUGAUUAUAUAUGUUCAGAAUUCAUGGAAAUGUGUAACAAACUAAUGAGCUUGACUGAAUGUAAAUCACAUAUAUUUAAAAGUUAAAGCUGACUUUAACGACUGCAUUUUGUUCAUGUUCACCAAACUCCAGGACAACGGGGAACCUCAGCUUAAAGUAUGGGAAAGUUGAGACAUGGGUCUGGAUGCGUAAGCUGCCUAGGACAGGAGAAGGAACAGGAGCAAGCAGAGUUAGAAGCAGAGGUUCCAUAGGUGGACAGUUCUGAUUCUCCUUGAAACGUGCAAGGGUCUUUGGGUCUGUCCUGGCCACAGUUCAGAGACACCAGGAGGAGCUCUGGUUUCUCUUAAGUGAGCUCCCUGCCUGGAUGCUGUGCAUGCAGGUGCAGCUGACACUAAGUGUGUCUGCUGGACAGCUGUAAGAUUAGAUCCCUAGAUUUUCUUUUUCCUUUUCCUUGUUAUCCCUUUUACUGAAAAUAGUUUCUUUCAUCAGACAGUUAAUCCCGAUUAGUUCUGCUUCCCUCUGCUCCUUUCCGAAUAUUCCCCCAUACCUUCUCUCCCAUCCAGAUCCACUCCCUUUCUGUCUCUCUUUAGAAAAGAAUGGUCUUCUAGUAAGAGACAACAACCAAACACAACAAAAUAAAAUACAAUAGGAUAAAACAAAAACCAUCACCUCAAACCUGCACAAGGAAAACAACAGAAGAAAUAGAGCCCCAAAGCAGGCACAAGAGUCAGAGACCCACGCUGUUGUGGAUCGUCCUGGUGCUGUGUGUAUUUUGAUGUUAAUUCUGCUUCCUCAAGAGGAUCUGCCGAGACCAGGAGUGAAUCACUCAGGUGAUUCCGAGUGAAGCUUCUCCCCAGUUUAACUGAUCAGAUAAAGGCUAGAGCCUGUGAUUGGGAAGUGGGAAGGAAAGUCGGGGCUAGUUUUAGAGAGGGGAAGAGGAGGAGGAGGAGGAGAAAGAGAGAGAAGGAGACAGGAGAGAGAGGAAGAUGAAGGAAGAGGAGGUGGAAGGAAGAUGGCCUGGAGAAGACACAAGUGGCAAGGGAUCUCACAGCUGGGGAAUAGAGCAGUGCAGUGGUGAAUCUGCCCAAUCUAGGCGAGCAGCUUAUAAAUAUUAUAACUGUGUUGUGUGUUCUUUGCACGGGCUUGUUGGGGUUGGAGAUUUACCGCAACACUCAGGAGUCCCAUCAGAAUACUCAUCUGAAAGCUGUAACCUAUGUGCAGAGGAGCUAGAGUAGACCUUUGCAGACCUGUGCUUGCUGCUCCAUCUCUGUGAGUUCAGAAAGCUUUGCUCAGUUGAUUAGAGAGCUUUGUUCUACUGCUGUCCAACACACUCUCUGGCUCUUACAAUCUUUCGCCUUCUCUUCCAUGGGAUUCCCUGAGCUCUGAGGGAGGAAUCUGCUGAAGGCCCCUCCCCCACCUCUCUGCAUAAUGUCUGGCUGUGGGUCUCAGUUGUUCCCAUCUGCGGUAAAAGGAAGCUUCUGAGGUGAUGGCUCAGCAAGGCACCGACCUAUGAAUAUUAGAGAGUAUCAUUAGGAGUCAUUCUCUCUGUCCCUGACUAUUUUUUUGUGGGAUGGGGUUGAGAGACUCUAGUGACUGAUUCUGUCUCAAUGGGGGUCAUAGAUCUGUUUAACUCACUUAUCUGAUCUUGAUUUAAGUUUUAUAUGUGGUACCUACUGAGGAAAUCAUUCAUUUCUUUUAUAUUUUCCAAUUGGUGGAGUACAGGUUUUUGAAGUAGGUCCGUAUGAUUCUCUGGAUUUCGUCUGAAUCUGUUGUUACGCCUUCCCCCAACCCCCCUUUUUUGUUUCUGAUUUUGGAUACACUCUUUCUGCCUUUUAAUUAAUUUAAUUAAUUUGCCAGUCUUACUGAUUUUUUUCUCAAAAAAAAAAUCCUGUUCAAUAUAUUGGUUAUAUUGGUUUCUUGUUCGUUUCUGUUUUACUGACUUCGGUCAUGAGUUUGAUCAUUCCUGCUGACUAUUCCUCUUGGACGAGAUUUUAUCUCUCCAUUCCAGGGCUUUCAGGUGAGCUCUUAUCUCCACUCUGUUCCCACACACAGGAUUCACCUCAAGGCACAGCUUCUCUCCCUGUUGACGUAUCUCCAGUUGAAAAGUCAAUGUGUCAUUUCAUCUUGUUCUCCCUGGGGUUGACCACUAAUGGCUGCACUGUACUUACCUAGAAAUGUGUGUGAGGCUCUCUUGGAUUGUUUUUUUCAAGACAGGGUUUCUCCAUGUAGCCCUGGCUGUCCUGGAAUUGACUCUAUAUGCCUGGCUGGCCUCAAACUCACUGAUCCACCUAAGGCAUGCUCUACCACACCUGGCUUUUGAGAGCACUUUUGACUCCACUUGGUCUGAUAUAUGCAAAAGUAGUCAGAGGAAUUGACCGGAAUGAAAGGGGAGAGAAGAGAUGUUUGCUGAACCUGUUGUUGGUGAACUUGAAGCUGGUUUACAGCUAGUGGGAAUGCAAGAUGGUUGAGCUCUUGUGGAAGACAGUAGGGCCCAUCACUAAAGAAGCAAAGAAAUAAGUGGAUUAUUGACUAUGCAAUCAGUCAAUGACAGACUGACUGAAGGACUCAAUGAUAAAGAGCACCAAAUGAUCCAGCAAAUUGUCACUGGAUACAUAUCUGAAGGAUGAGAAGGCAGGGUUCAUAGUCACUGCAAUUCACAACAGCCAAAAAGGUAGCAGCAGAUAAGCUUGCUUCCCCAGGGACAGUUAGACAGCAAGGGUUGUGUGUAUAGAUGGUAUUCUUCAGCUUUAAGAAAGAAUGGUAAAGGUUGGGGAUUUAGCUCAGUGGUAGAGCGCUUGCCUAGGAAGCGCAAGGCCCUGGGUUCGGUCCCCAGCUCCGGGGAAAAAAAAAAAAAAAAAAAAAAAAAAAAAAAAGAAAGAA